ACGCACAGGCGACGGCUGUGAUGGACAACAAACUGCUGGUGGUUAAUUUCUGCUUUAAGAAAACGACAUGAAGGGACGAAGGAGAAGAUUAUUGUUGUGCUCAAGUUGUGCUAAAAGGAGUUAGCCUGUCAGUGAAGCUGUUAAACCUAAAUUAGCAUCUUAAUGCUAACAUACGGCAGCAGCACAGAUGCUAACGCUAAUGCUAGCAUCCGCAGUCCAUGUUUCUUUGCACCAAUCUGAUGGUUGAAUAACCUAAAUAACAGAUUCAAAACAAUCACUGAGCAGAGCUUCAUAUCCAUGAGUGGUGAUGCUGCAGAACGGCUGACAUCAGCGCUCUGCUGUGGACGACCUUCGACCCUCUACCUCUGCUGCAGCUGAUAUUUUUAGAAACGCAGGAUAAAUUUAAAACCUUUAGUAAUUUUUCCAAAUGAACCUUUCAUCUUGCAAGGUUGGACACUUCAGAUCGACUCGGAGGGAAUCCUUUGGUUCCAAAGCACUUAAAAUCUGUUUAAAUUAAUGAGAAUAAAGAUAAGUAGCAUUGUAAUAUGAUGAAAAUGUCAUAUUGUUAAAAUAAUAAAAGCUACAUUUUGAGUCCUUUAAGUCGGGAAGCUAAACAGACCAGGCAGCAGGAAACUUCUCCCCAUUUCUUUGUGUUUUUUUUAAUGCAGAAGUUUUGUCACAUUUCUUUCUGUUUUAAACUUCAGACUUCAAAGUUGGUCUUGACCAACAUUUUCCUGUUUUUCUCAACGUUUUAAUUUGGACUUUUUAUUUCAGGGUAUAUUCAGACCAGGAAGGGCAUUUGGUCCGAACCAAAAGCAGGUUUAAUUUUUUUCUGUUUGCUGCUGUUUGCUUUAACAUUUAGGUUUUUUUGCAAACAAAUUAAAGUAUGUAAAUGCAGUUACAGUUAUGUUAUGUCGGUUGUUAUGACAACACUAUUAAAGCAGAUAUUACCGGU